rnacentral:rRNA from 1 species
GCUACGGGAGGCAGCAGUGAGGAAUAUUGGUCAAUGGACGCAAGUCUGAACCAGCCAAGUAGCGUGCAGGAUGACGGCCCUCCGGGUUGUAACCUGCUUUUAGUUGGGAAUAAAAGGGGGCUCGUGAGCCCCGUAUUGUCUGUACCAUCCGAUAAAGGACCGGCUAAUUCCGUGCCAGCAGCAGCGGUGAUACGGAAGGUCCGGGAGUUAUCCGGAUUUAUUGGGUGUAAAGGGAGCGUAGUCCGGCUUUUAAGUCAGCUGUGAAAGUCCACGGCUCAACCGUGGAAUUGCAGUUGAAACUGGAGGCCUUGAUUGCACACAGGGAUGCCGGAAUUCAUGGUGUAGCGGUGAAAUGCUUAGAUAUCAUGAAGAACUCCGAUCGCGAAGGCAAGUGUCCGGGGUGCAACUGACGCUGAGGCUCGAAAGUGUGGGGAUCAAACAGGAUUAGAUACCCCAGUAGUC